GCCCUCGCGGCGUAACGGUAGCACACUCGGCUCGUAUUCGAGAAGCUUCAGGUUCGAGUCCCAGCGAAGGCA
rnacentral:tRNA from 1 species